GCAUUCCAGCAUGACCACGCAAGACAGACAGAGGAUGGUGGUUGAACCAAUUUGCAAGUAUCCUACCAAUAUGCAUGUUAUUUUUCCAUGUAUAAAGUGGUGUCAACUGAGGGGACUAUGUGUCAUGAAGCCAUUAGAAGGCUGUUGCUGACUGAGAGGAGUCUUGCAGUAGGCUAACCCAAAACUAUAAAAGGAUCUCUCUUUCGGCUGCUGCUGAUGACAACUGCAUUCAGGCGACAACCCAUACUGUACUGGCCCAGCGGCUAUGUCACGACUUCUACCAAAGUUGAUGCCCCUCCUUGUUCGGGUGGUGCUCGGCGAUCGACGUCACCGGUCUUCUAGCCACCAUUGAUCAGUUUUUCAUUUUCCAUUGGUUUUGUCUGGUCUCCUUACACACCUGUUUCUUAUCCCAGUAAUUACAUGUUGUGUAUUUAACCCUCUGUUUCUCCUCAUAUCCUUGUCGGUGAUUGUUUGUUAUGUUAUGUACGUGUUGUUGAUGUAUCGGUGUGCGACGGGUUAUUGUUUACCCGGAGAAUUUUUCUACGUUGGUUUUGGAGUUAGUUCUUUUAAUAAAUACUCAAUUUUUUAACCACUUUGGUUUCUCCUGCGCCUGACUUCCCUGCCACCUACAUUCACGGAUUAUGACAGGCUAGGGAGUUAGACCCGUGGUCAAAAGGUUGACGGUUUGAAUCCUGGGCCAGGCGCUGGGAAAAAAACAGGCGGAAUUGAUCUGACAACUGGAGGGCCGCUGGGUUCACAUCCUCAAAACAUUCCCCUACUGUUGGGCCCUUGAGUAAGGCCCUAACCCCACAGCAUGUUCUUCAUCCAGGGGCGCUGCGCUGCAGCUUGAACCUGUGCUAAUCUCAACUCUAUGUUUGUGGGUGUUGCGAACAAGAAGACACAUUUUUGUUGUUCGGACAACGUUGCAUUGUAUUGUAUUGUAAAGAAGUCAGCCA
rnacentral:lncRNA from 1 species